UACGUAGGGGACAAGCGUUGUCCGGAUUUAUUGGGCGUAAAGCGCGCGCAGGCGGCCCUUUAAGUCCGUCGGUCAAAUGCCAGGGCUCAACCCCGAUGCAUGCCGAGGAUACUGGAGGGCUGGAGACACGUAGAGGCAAGCGGAAUUCCGGGUGUAGCGGUGGAAUGCGUAGAGAUCCGGAAGAACACCGGAGGCGAAGGCGGCUUGCUGGGCGUGAUCUGACGCUGAGGCGCGAAAGCGUGGGGAGCGAACAGG
rnacentral:rRNA from 1 species